rnacentral:misc_RNA from 1 species
GAGAGAAAAUGGCCGUCGCCGUAGAAAUCCCUCGCGAGUAUGGCUACGUCGUCAUCGUCCUCAUCCUUUACGCCUUCCUCAACCUGUGGAUGGGCAUCCAGGUCGGCAAGGCCCGCAAGAAGUAUAAAGUGUUCUAUCCGACUCUCUAUGCAGUCGAAUCGGAGAACAAGGAGGCCAAGCUCUUCAAUUGUGUUCAGAGAGGGCACCAGAAC